UGUCCUCCCUCUGUUUUGUGGAGUGUUUAUGCAGGCUGGAGCCAACUAUCCAAAGCAGAGAGGAAAAAAAAAAAAAAAAAAGGCUCUGCAGGUACCAUCAGCCUGGGAGCAAAGCUCCCCCUUCUCAGCACCCAUACGAUUUCCAGAAAUCACUUUGAAUUACAUUUUAAACUUAGAUGCUCAGUUAAUUCCCCCGCAAUUCCCUGCUAAAGCACCUCAAUGUGUGGCCUGGCUUAUUCUUUUUAAAUUAGCUUUAAUUUUUUUUUUUUUUUUAAUUCUCGAGUUUUGACUCAGGGACUUGAAUGGGAGGCUGCUGGGUGAAGGUGCACGAGGGUGGACCAGAGCAUCUAAACCGAGGCCCCCAAACACGAGCGUUUUCCCCUCAACCUCCCCGCACCACUGGGAAUAAUAAUUCCUCGCAGGGCUGUUGCGCAGCUUGAUUCAUUAAGGCUUAUGAAGUGCUUUUUAGCUCCGGCACUGGAAGGCUCUGCACAAGUUAUUUUGGACUGCUCAGGUGUUAGGAGGAGAGGCACCGCAGAAGGAAUAGAAAUAAAUCGAGAAACUGCCCCUCUCUGCCAUCCAGCCCCUGCCCCCCCACUGUUCUCCAUCACUGUUGGUGUCAAACAGUUAAUUUACAAGCCCAGCACUUUACAAAGCCCCUGGAGCACCAAUUGUCCCUUUCUCAUGCAACAUCAGCUCCUCAAAAAAAAAGCCAGCUGAGUCUCCCAGUGUCACCCCGCUCCUGCCCUUCCCAAGGCAACUUCAGGCCCGGUCCAAAACCGCCUGGAUCUUUCUUUUCGGACAAGUCAGAUCCAACAUCCACCCCCUUGCAGCAUGAUGCUGAAAGCACACAACUAACCCCGGGGUGCUGGGUGCUGGGUGCUGGGGCUUUGAAAUGUGCCAUUCGCCUGGCCGGGGGGGCAAUCUCCCGUUGGUGACGGUGACCCAGAGACCCCACCCGAGCCACCACCCACGAGCAUCCCCACCAGAGCCCCAAAGGACCAGGGCCGGGCUCAGAGCCUGGCAGGACAAACCAGGAGAGCGAUAGUCUGUUGCACAGGAGCUGUCGGCCAUGCUGUUCCAGUUCAGGGGCUCCUGCAACAGAAAAGAUCAGCUGUUGGAGAACCCAUGGAAAGCCCUGGGGGAGAGCCAUGGCCGCAAGGUAAUCAGCAGGCAAAGUUAUUACCAUUAUGCUGCUAAUUAAUUCCCAGCUCAUUACGUUUCCUGUGGCUAAUUUGUACUCGCCGCUGAUUUGAUUAAACUCAUCUCUAUGCUAA